CCAAUAGCGUAUAUUAAAGUUGUUGCAGUUAAAAAGCUCGUAGUUGAAUUUCGAGAUCAAAUUGUUGGUCGUGCCUUGGUACGCACUGGCAUUAUUGGUUUCUCCCUUCUGACGAACCAUGAUGUCAUUAAUUUGGUGUCUUGGGGAAUCAGGACUGUUACUUUGAAAAAAUUAGAGUGUUUAAAGCAGGCUCACGCUUGAAUACAUUAGCAUGGAAUAAUGAAAUAGGACGUUUGAUUCUAUUUUGUUGGUUUCUAGGAUCGACGUAAUGAUUAAUAGGGAUAGUUGGGGGCAUUAGUAUUCAAUUGUCAGAGGUGAAAUUCUUGGAUUUAUUGAAGACUAACUACUGCGAAAGCAUUUGCCAAGGAUGUUUUCAUUAAUCAAGAACGAAAGUUAGGGGAUCGAAGACGAUCAGAUACCGUCGUAGUCUUAACCAUAAACUAUGCCGACUAGGGAUCGGAUGAUGUUAAUUUUUUAAUGACUCAUUCGGCGCCUUACAGGAAACCAAAGUUUUGGGUUC
rnacentral:rRNA from 1 species